UAGAAAAAUGAAUUUUUUUUUUUUUAAUGGAUCGAGGAUAAAAAGACAUUGAAGAGCACCAGCAAGACACCAUCCCACAUCUUAAGAAAAUCAUUUAGGAAACAAAUUAGCAGCUUAUCCAUCCCCAAAUUGAUGAUAGCAAAACUAAAAAAUUCAACGUGUUUAGCCAUCUAUCUUUUACACCAAGAGAUACAUCUAACUCGAAGGCUCUUACACUCUUUCUUUCUACAGAAGAGUAUAUAGUCCUUCAGCUUCUUCAGACCUUUAAAUUAAGAAUCGGAUUCAAUUUCCUACAGUGUCUUAACCAACAGCCAACCCAACUACAUUAACCAUUGUUGCUUAGAAGUAAAGUUCCCAACCUUUUAAUGAUAAAAUUGAAUUUAAUAACAGCCCUACAGGGUAUAAGUUAGUACAAACAGAAAGGGUGCUGCAAAAUGUGUGCAUGUGUAAUAUACAACUUUAUAUUCUUGGUUUUUCAGCAGGUGAACAGAAACCCAGCCCACAAGUUAUUGUCAAA
rnacentral:misc_RNA from 1 species